rnacentral:rRNA from 1 species
GGGCACGACACCGGAGAGGGAGCCUGAGAAACGGCUACCACAUCCAAGGAUGGCAGCAGGCGCGCAAAUUACCCAAUCCCGACACGGGGAGGUAGUGACAAUAAAUAACAAUACGGGGUUCUUUCGGAUCUCGUAAUUGGAAUGAGUACAAUUUAAAUCUCUUAACGAGGAACAAUUGGAGGGCAAGUCUGGUGCCAGCAGCCGCGGUAAUUCCAGCUCCAAUAGCGUAUAUUAAAGUUGUUGCAGUUAAAAAGCUCGUAGUUGAAUUUCGGGGUUAGUAGGUUGGUCAUGCCUCUGGUAUGUACUGGUCUCACUGAUUCCUCCUUCCUGAUGAACCGUAAUGCCAUUAAUUUGGUGUUGCGGGGAAUUUGGACUGUUACUUUGAAAAAAUUAGAGUGUUUAAAGCAAGCUAACGCUUGAAUACAUUAGCAUGGAAUAAUGAAAUAGGACGUUCGAUCCUAUUUUGUUGGUUUCUAGGAUUGACGUAAUGAUUAAUAGGGAUAGUUGGGGGCAUUAGUAUUCAAUUGUCAGAGGUGAAAUUCUUGGAUUUAUUGAAGACUAACUACUGCGAAAGCAUUUGCCAAGGAUGUUUUCAUUAAUCAAGAACGAAAGUUAGGGGAUCGAAGACGAUCAGAUACCGUCGUAGUCUUAACCAUAAACUAUGCCGACUAGGGAUCGGAUGAUGUUAAUUUUUUAAUGACUCAUUCGGCGCCUUACGGGAAACCAAA